rnacentral:misc_RNA from 1 species
GCUGGAGGGGAGAAAGCAUAUUCCUUAAGCAAGGGUCGGAGAUAGAAACUCCCUGGAAAUAAGUCCCCAAAUACAAAAAUCCCACCAACACCUGAUACUGUAUUGUUCCUGUAACCAUCUUCUCCACUUAAUGAUAAGAGAACUGAUGGAAAAGGCUCGUUGGCGUCUUCUCUAGAAUAUAUACGCACUGAAAUUUGGCCCAGCUUCUGACAAGAAAAGGAAUGAGGUCCAGCUUGCUUUACAUGGUAACCCGGCUUUGAAGCUUCAACAGUAUAACUUAUAUCAUCAUAUAGAGGCCCUGCGACAUAUAAGCCAUCGGUCCCUGUGGUAGUUUGAAGUGCUAAAUCGCCUUGCUUAAGUGGAGCACUUUGGCUGUCUCCUGUAGCAAUUAUUUUGACAACAACAUCAUUGAGAGGGGGAGAAACUGAUCCUUCUAUAUACAUCCCAAGUCGACCAGCAAAAGGAGGAAUUGAAGAUUGGCAGCCAUCUUCCAUCACAGCAACAUGCUGCUGUGUGGGAUAAAAUAAUAUUUUUUUCCCGCCAUCAUCCCGUGCAUCUCGAGGAAUAAAAGUAAAUUUUCCUCCCGGACUAGCCCACAUGGAAAAUUCGUAGAUGGCUGCACUCGAUUGAUCAACUCCGUAAGGCACACGUCUUGCCAAUAGACCAUCAACAACAGAACCUUCACUGUCCAAAAUGUCCAACGGUAUAUUCUCAGGCAAGCCCUCAACGCUACUAAACGAGCUUGAUUCAACAUGGACAUGACCCUUCAAAAGAUAGCUCUCGCCUUUCAAAUAGAUAGGAGAAAGGUUAGAUGUGUCAAUGAUCACAGAUGAACUCCCAAAAGAAAUACAUGAAUUUGGAAAGCUCAGCUCAUGCACUCCCGGAGAUUCUACGCACACGUGUUGAGAACCCUUCUUGAUGUUCAAGUUCAUUCCAGAACCAUCUGAUUGAGUCAGUAAGCCCUCCACAUCAUGGCUUGAGACUAUGUUGACCCAGAAACCUUUUUGAACAAAAUCUACCCCUUUAACAUCCUCAGCGCCAACUUCUAAAUCAAUAAAACUCUGCUCCCAGCACCAUUUAUCUUGUCCUGAUGAUGCUAUUGGAUAAUUGUUUUUUACCUCAACCCUGUAUUUACCAGGGAGAACAUUUGAGAAGAAAAAUUCAUUACUCUCAUUUGCCAAACCAAUUGUCUUCUUAUCGUCUUUAUUUCUCCCAUCCAGGCGCAGAAGAGUCAAAGAAACUGAAGAACCACAUUUCUCCUUACAAACAACGGAGCCAUGUAUACUUACUUGUGCCUGAUAGAACUUGACAUCCAAUAUCGGACUCCUGACUGAAACAUCAAUAUGAGAAGGAGAAAAUAGAAGUUCUUUAGCGUUCUCAAGUUUUGCUGGGAUUGCAGAUAAGCGAUAAUCACCAGGAGGAACCUCAAAGCAAAAAUGGCCACUCUCAUCAGUAAGUUUCACUUGAGGUUUGACGUUUUGUGGGCCAUGAGUCAG